rnacentral:rRNA from 1 species
AUGAACGCUAGCGACAGGCCUAACACAUGCAAGUCGAGGGGCAGCACAAGGAGCAAUCUGAGGUGGCGACCGGCGCACGGGUGAGUAACACGUAUGCAACCUGCCUGUAAGCGGGGAAUAACCCGUUGAAAGACGGACUAAUACCGCAUAAUACUAAAUUACUGCAUGGUAAUUUAUUUAAACAUUUAUGGCUUACAGAUGGGCAUGCGCAUGAUUAGCUAGUUGGAGAGGUAACGGCUCCCCAAGGCAACGAUCAUUAGGGGUUCUGAGAGGAAGGUCCCCACACUGGUACUGAGACACGGACCAGACUCCUACGGGAGGCAGCAGUGAGGAAUAUUGGUCAAUGGACGAGAGUCUGAACCAGCCAAGUCGCGUGCAGGAAGAAUGUCCUAAUGGAUUGUAAACUGCUUUUGCAGGGGAAUAAAGUGCAUCACGUGUGAUGUUUUGUAUGUACUCUGCGAAUAAGGAUCGGCUAACUCCGUGCCAGCAGCGGC